rnacentral:piRNA from 1 species
GGAGCACGAGAGUAAUGGCUAAGACCGAU